AUGAUUGCGAAUGCUUGCCUUCAGUGCUGGCUCUUACGAGCAGGUGCACGUUGGUGGCUUUCAUCCAAUACCCCACACCCUUGUGAACCAUUGGCCUCUUGCUUGCUGCUUACUUUGGCUGGCAGAGGAUUUUUACACAUAUACUCUCUCGAAUGUAAUGAAAACUAUUGUCGUGCGCAAGCACUAAUGUA
rnacentral:misc_RNA from 1 species